rfam:Myotis brandtii contig290058, whole genome shotgun sequence.
GGGGGUAUAGCUCAGGGGUAGAGCAUUUGACUGCAGAUCAAGAGGUCCCUGGUUCGAAUCCGGGUGCCCCCU